rnacentral:rRNA from 1 species
UAGGGAAUCUUCGGCAAUGGGGGCAACCCUGACCGAGCAACGCCGCGUGAGUGAAGAAGGUUUUCGGAUCGUAAAGCUCUGUUGUAAGUCAAGAACGAGUGUGAGAGUGGAAAGUUCACACUGUGACGGUAGCUUACCAGAAAGGGACGGCUAACUACGUGCCAGCAGCCGCGGUAAUACGUAGGUCCCGAGCGUUGUCCGGAUUUAUUGGGCGUAAAGCGAGCGCAGGCGGUUUGAUAAGUCUGAAGUUAAAGGCUGUGGCUCAACCAUAGUUCGCUUUGGAAACUGUCAAACUUGAGUGCAGAAGGGGAGAGUGGAAUUCCAUGUGUAGCGGUGAAAUGCGUAGAUAUAUGGAGGAACACCGGUGGCGAAAGCGGCUCUCUGGUCUGUAACUGACGCUGAGGCUCGAAAGCGUGGGGAGCGAACAGGAUUAGAUACCCUGGUAGUCCACGCCGUNNNGAUGAGUGCUAGGUGUUGGAUCCUUUCCGGGAUUCAGUGCCGCAGCUAACGCANUAAGCACUCCGCCUGGGGAGUACNACCGCAAGGNU